CACACCAACAUCACUAUAUAGGUGUCUUACAUGACUUUUGUGUAAUAAAUAUAUAACCAAAUCUACCCACCCUAUAUAUUAGUACAAAACGUAUAAUUAUUGGUUGAAUGAUUUUGUACUGUCUAUUGUUUAUUGAUAUUUACGACACGGAAGCAUAUUACAGUGUGUCCCUUUUCUCUAAAGGUUCUUUGUUCAUUGUUCCACUGUAUUUCACUAUCUCUCCCUCCCCCUCAGGUACUGAGAGUGUGAGGCUAUACUCUCAGAAGACCUGGAGGGUGGUCACACAGACCAGGGGACUGCAGCUGGUACUAGAGCAGCAUAUCCACAAAGUAAUUUUGACUGAAUGUGCUAUCAUUACUUUGAGUGCCUCAUGGAUCGUGUGGUUAGAAUCCGGAAUGAACUACCUCAAGAUGCAUUCACAUAUCGGGCGUGUUGUUAUCCGAAGCAGCUCAAUCUUAUUGUGAUGUUCAUGUGAUGUGUGCGGUUGGACUUCUACAUAUCCCAUAGCCAGGCAGCCUGCAUCUGUACUGCAGAGCUAGGCACUAAGGUGAAGGAUUGUCUGAGACCGCACGUAGGACGACUGAACUGCCGUGACAACCACACUGAUGGAGACAGCUGCAUCAAAUCGACUCCCAUCAGAUAGGCUGGCGCAAUUGUGCAGAACAGCUGUAUAAGUGGUUCAAGGUGUGUAUAUAGAAGCAUGAUUACUUCAAAUAAUGAAUACACUUGUGGAGCCGUGCAGUUCAUUGGAGCUGUGUAAAUAACAUACUGUUAAAGUAUUAAUUUCCAUAACAAGAUGCUCUGUAGAGCAUUCACCCUAUGCAAUGAGCUUCAUCGCACAGCAGCAAAACAGAUACAAUAACUUUUACCAUAACCACCUUAACAUUAUGGGGAAUGAUCGUGAAUCAGGAAUGAUCGUGAAUCUAUAAAGCAUCGAUUAGAAAACAGUGUUUUUUUCUCAUCUUCGAAGAUCGCCUAAAAUUAAUUAGCCUAUUAUUUUUCAACCACUGUCUCAUUAGCAUAAAGCAGUCUAUGAAAGUGUCUAGUUCGCUCAAACAGCUUAUUUUUCACAAACCGACAUACACCAAUCACUCUACCCUGCAUGCUGCUUGCUGCGCAUGCACACACAAGGUAAAUCCGACUAGAAAAACAUUUGCAAUGUGAAAAAUUGCUAGGAUUGGCCAGGGGAACCACAAAAAAGCGUGGGAACAAGAAAUCAGACGAGAGCAUAACUCCAAUCCGUUACAACGUCAAUCACAUGUAUACUGGUAGUUUUCCCAUGUUUUCCCAGCCAAUAUGCCACGCAAUUUUUACUGGUGGAGUGAUGACCAAUCCCUAUAUAUAUUUAUUAUAAGAAUGUGGGGCACAUUAUCAUGAUGAUUUGUGAUGAAUUGAUGUUCCUAAUACAUGCAGUGUUGAGCACAGGUACACACAGUCCAUCCAUGCGUAGUAACAUGCACGGACCGUACUGGUGACUGCAUGGAAUGAUGUGGUGGAUGGAAGCUGAUAGGUGGAUCUGGAACACAGUCUAUUAUUUAAUAUACUAUGUAUUGUACAUGUUCAUGACGUUGUAACGGAUUGGAGUUAUGCUCUCGUCUGAUUUCUUGUUCCCACGCUUUUUUGUGGUUCCCCUGGCCAAUCCUAGCAAUUUUUCACAUUGCAAAUGUUUUUCUAGUCGGAUUCCCUUUCUUUUUCAGUACAGUUUACGUAUCAUGACAUGCAUAAGUGGAACGUCAAGAGGCAGUACAAGAAGAGAAGACAGGACUAAUCAGAUAUCUUCUCGAAUAUCUCUGGACUAAUAAUUAUAGUAUAAUGAGUAAUAAUUUAUUGCUUGAUAAUUAUGUUGAAUUUGCGAAUCAGUAUUAAAUGACAGCCAUUUUAAGAGCAUGAUAUCUAGCCAGUGCAUAUAGCAUGCCUGUCAGAGAAAGGGAGCUAGAGCUGAACAGUGUGAAGAAAAGGAACACCUCAGGCUCUGGAAAAGCACUGCUGCACUGAUUUUAGGCACACGGUUUUUUAGCCACGCCUAUCUAUUAUUAUUGGCCACAACGUAAUUGCUGAGUCAUUAAAGAUGGCGGAAUUGUCUAGGUAAGAGAAAUAGAGACUGAGAGGUCAUCUGCCUUGUGGAAGCAAUCGCAAAUCUGAAGAAGCGCUUUGUAAUCCAGGUUGUAGUCGUUUGGAAACCCUGUGCAGAAUGUCCUGGAGAUGGCUGUACUUGGAGUAAAUGCUGGGCAAGAAACUUACUUACUUACUUACUCACUUACUUACUUACUUACUUACUUAGUCAGUCAGACAAAGAGCGGUGAAACGUCGAAAUAGUGCAAUUUUUAAAAUGAAAAUAUUCAUUCAUUAAAAUGUUUAUGGAUUAUGAAAUGAGAGAUACAAAGAGAGAAAAGGCUAAAUAAACUAUCUGUUCAGCCAGUUUCUUGAUGUGGCCUUUCCCUGCAGAGAUAGAACAGUUUGAACAUGAGUCAAAAUAAUUGAAAUAUUGCUAAACACAGGCAAACCCACUGCCAAUCCUAUGUAAAACCUACUGGUUUUACUAAUAUAUAGCCAAGAGCUUAAACUCACGAGUUGUGGGAGUAGGUGUGGUUAUAAUUAGUGAUGUACACUCAAUAGCCUCAGGGUCUGGACUCCACAUCAGUGUACCCUCACAUGUCACCAUCGUAACAGCAGACACAUAUCCAGCGUCACACUGGAUGGUUGCUGUGGAUCCUGGCAAUCUGCCUGAGACAGGUCCGAAGGCUCCAUUCAUGGGGUUGGUCAACACAGGACAGUUGCCUGAGAAGGAUUUGACACUUUGUGUAAAAAAAUAUACUUACCAAUCCUAAAACUGUACUCAGCGGUCGUACUGUUCCCAGCACAGUUGGUAGCCACAACACUGAUAGUGUAGUCCACAUUAUAUUGCGCAGUUACAGUGACAGAGGUGGAUGUGAGGACAGUAGCAGAUAGGUGGGCCGGAGGUGAGAUGGAUACUGUGUAGGUGAGGUCAUCUCUACCACCAGUUUCAGUAGGAGGGUCCCAACCAAUAGUCACACUGACUUCAUUGGCUAAGAUACUCGAAGUGAAGUGUCUGAUGGUGGAAGGUGGUCCUGGUGGUUCUAUAAUUUUGUAACCAUUAAAUUUUGACAAUUAUGGACGAAACACUAAUUCACUGCAACUCACCAACCAAUUGCACUGUUGAAGACCUUAUAGUACUUACAGGCACAAACUCCACACAGGACACAGUGAUCCCAUUCUCUGCUGUUCUUGAUAGAGUAGAGGUUAAACUAGUGUCAUUGAAUGCAGUUAGUUUCACAGUGUAACCUGAUUGCAUUAGCGGUACAUUGAGAUCAAUGGUGUUGCGAACGGUGAUGGGAGCUGAGGUAUCUGAUGGUAUCCAUCUCAAGGAAUCUCCAGCAGCAGUGCAAGUGAAAGUGACUGUUUCCAUUGGACAUGGUCUCUCCACACUCACUGAAUAUUGUGCUUUACAAAACGCAGUGUUCAAUCUUCUAGUCCGACAAUGAUGGAGCGGCUGUAUUAGGGUGGUGCAUCAUAUCUAUGAUGACUCAGCCCACACAGAUCGGCAGAUGUACUCGUGUGGUUCCUUGGCCCCCAAAAUGAGGAGAGGAGGAUGUAUGGACCAUACUAUCACAAGCCGGGACAGCCGCAGGAGAAGAGUGAGGUUCCCUUCUCCUGCUUGGAGACCUGCACAUCCUCCUCUUGGAGACACUGCUCAAAUUAACUGUUUCCAGUGUUUGCCAAGUUGCUGGGUGUGAGAGUGUUCAGAGAUACCUAGAGCUGUUCCUGGACUCCUAUAUAUGGACUGCAUGAGCAGUCCUUGAUGCAGUCUGCUGGUGUGGACUGUCUCACCUCACUCUGUCAGCUGCUGGGAAGAAUGAUCUUCAGAUGGAGAACAGAACAACACAAUCCAAUGUGAACAAGGAUUGUCAGAGACUGUAUACAUGGGACGAACGAUUGUGGCUGCAUGGCAUGGAUGAACUGUUCUCAUUUUGCUAACCUUGAGGACAGCAUACCCUCAGUUAGACAAGGGGCAGCUGCUGCUCUCACCAGCGUCACCAAGGCUUAUAUGAAAGAGAAUUGGCUAAAAAGGGAAAAACUCUUCAGUCUGAUGCAACUGAUGUUUGGGAGGUGAUUGUAAGCUGCUGCUAGGCAAUCAAUAUAUUGCACAUUGAGUGCUUGAAGCUUCCUGAACAUCUGUCUGAAAGAUUGUGUUUACCUUAAGCUCCUCUGAUAUUAAUCCUGGAACGGCUGUAUUUGUGGAGAUUCAUCAUAUCCAUUAUGAUCCAGCCCACAUAGACUAGCAGAUGUACUCUUGUGGUUCACUGGUCCCCAGCAUGAGGAGAGGAUGAUGUAUGGACUAGCUCACACUAUCACAAGCCAGGAGAGCCAUGGAGAAGAGUGAGGUUGCCAAGUUACUGGGUGAGAGAGUGUUCACAAGAGACACCUAGCUCGAGCUGCAUCUUCUAUGGACUCAAUAUAUAGCAUAGAAACACUUUGUGUCCUUGUUUCCUAUUGUAGAUCUACAUACUCCACAUGUACCCCCCCCCCCUCCCUCCUCUCCCCCCAGAGCAGUGACAAUGCCUGGUGCAGUCUGCUGGAGUGGACUGUCUCACCUCACUCUGUCAGCUGCUGGGGAGAAUGAUCCUCAGAAAAUAGAACAACACAAUCAAUGAAUCUGGAAAAGUCUGACAGAACAGUAUACAAUAAUUAUGUAACUUGUUUUUUUCCUGCAAUAUAAUUAUGUGUACGUUUACUCUUUGCCAGUUCAUCAGUUUAAAUAUAAUUAUGAACAGAUGCAGCUAUAUUGUUUGCAUUGUUCUCAA